GCGCAGUGGCAGUAUCGUAGCCAAUGAGGUUUAUCCGAGGCGCGAUUAUUGCUAAUUGAAAACUUUUCCCAAUACCCCGCCGUGACGACUUGAAAUAUAGUCGGCAUUGGCAAUUUUUGACAGUCUCUACGGAGACUGAAUAAUGUAAGUUUAAAAAAAGCAUGUGUUUCGUAACCACCGUAAACCUACAGGAGAAUACGUUGGAAGUCCUAAGUCACAAACAGCGUGGAAGGAACGCUGAGAGUUCAAAAUGACCAGUAGCUAUAUACCCAAUUUCAAAUUUUCACCGUUACCAGCAAAAGAAUGCUGCUUGUUAGGGUGAAGGUGGUGGAACAGCCUCUACUGAUUCAAAACAGCACACUGUGGAAAACCGCCCGAGCGCAAGAUCAGACACAGUCCCUGCUUCAAGGAACUCACCGUUUUGAAAACAGAUAACAUAAUUACAGAGUAUUUCAAUGUUAUAGAGAGAUGUGAUGGAGCCAUCCAGAAGACCAGCCGAGUUCCAACACCACCCACUAUGGAGCACUUAUUGUGUGCCAGACUCUGCAUGAACUGCUUACUUCCUGUGCCAGACUCCAUGCAAAGUGCUUAAGAUGCUUUGUUUCACUUAAUUCUUACAGAAACCUUUCUCCCCAUUCCUUUUUUUUUUUUUUUUUACAAACAGCUCUACUGAGGCAUAAUUGAUAUUCAAUAAACUGCACAUAUUUAAAGCCUA